CGGUUUGGAAAGUGGCGAACGGGUGAGUAACACGUGGGUAACCUGCCUCGAAGCGGGGGACAACCAUUGGAAACGAUGGCUAAUACCGCAUAGUCCCAUUUUUGUGAGAACAAUGAUGGGUAAAACUCCGGUGCUUCGAGAGGGGCCUGCGUCCGAUUAGCUAGUUGGUGGGGUAAAAGCCCACCAAGGCGACGAUCGGUAGCUGGUCUGAGAGGACGAUCAGUCACAUGGGAACUGAGACACGGUCCCG
rnacentral:rRNA from 1 species